UACGGGGGGAGCAAGCGUUGUUCGGAUUUACUGGGCGUAAAGGGCGCGUAGGCGGCCAGCACAAGUCAGUUGUGAAAUCUCCGAGCUUAACUCGGAAAGGUCAACUGAUACUGUGCGGCUAGAGUGCGGAAGGGGCAACUGGAAUUCUCGGUGUAGCGGUGAAAUGCGUAGAUAUCGAGAGGAACACCUGCGGCGAAGGCGGGUAGCUGGGCCGACACUGACGCUGAGGCGUGAAAGCCAGGGGAGCGAACGGG
rnacentral:rRNA from 1 species